CGCGCGCACCUGCAAGGAAGCCGCGUGCGGCUGCUGUGCCUGGGCGCGCGCUGGGCGGCCGCCGACGCACCUGGGCUCUCGGCUCGCUUCCUUGGAAGCGAUGGAGCUUCGCGGACUUGCAGAGCCCUAGGGUCACCUUACCGACCAAAUGAUGACUUUUUUCCGACCUGGCCCAUUCUCCCUGCCAGCCUCAAAGCGUUGCAGAGGCAAGGAAAUCCAAGGUCAGGAUGCCAGCAGAUUCGUUGUCUGAGAGAGCUAAAGAGGGGAGGAGCAGAGGAAGAGGGACAGCCUGAUGUGAGGCUCGAU